AGUGCCAAAACAGUACUGCAUUCCUUAAAGAGGGAAUAAAGGAUCGAGUUAGACUGGCCUUCUCAACACCUCCUGAAAGGCCCCCUUGGGUCUCAUUUUGCUGGGAUGACUAUUUAUAUGACAGAGGAGUCAGAACUGGAUCAUUAACAGACACAUCAGCUGGGUACCAAAGUUGCUGAAAAGGAACUAAACAAACAAGCAAAAGAAGGAAAAGAGAUGCUGGGCCAUUGGAAAGGAGAGAAAGCUCCCUGGUUGAUGCAGCUCAGGUAUGGCAUCCUGUGUGCAGUCAGCAUUUUCACUAAGGAGGGCAUAUGGGGCCAUGGAAUGAUAACUGUGGAGUGUGUUGAAGUUUAGAUCUGAAACUUACUCACUUAGCA
rnacentral:lncRNA from 1 species